rnacentral:lncRNA from 1 species
UUAUUUUCCAAAUAAGAGUUUAUAGAUACAACAACAAUUAUGCAUAAAUAAUACUGAGUAUAAUAGGAUACAGUAUAGUACUUAAGUAAAUCAAAAACAAAUUGUUGACAAAAUACUGUGCAUAAUUUCCUGAGUACAUUUAUAUUUAUAUACUGUUAAAAUAUUUAAAACAAUAUCCAUUUAGACAAUUCAGAUUUUGUGUUGUACAUCCAUUUUAUGGAAUUGGUUCUCUUUACAAAAUUUUAUCAUACACUUUAAGUAGGUUACACUUUGAGAAUAGCUAAAAAAAAAGCAGUUGGGUUUGAUUGACUUUAGGUUGCUUAACGUCCAGGAGAAAAAAAAGAGAUUUUUGAGUGAAAAUGCACAAUUGAGUAAAAUAUUUUACAUUAUUUCUAGAUUAUUAUAGUAUAAGUUCAUAUAAUUGCUGCAUUUUCACAUUUACUGAGACAACAACCAUUGGUUUCCAAAUGGUAAAUAAGAUACUAAAAAAUGUAAUAACUGUUGAAAUAUAUAUAUUAUGGUUUUAGUACAAUUAUUUAUGAAGUAAAAUUAUAAAAAAAAGGUUAAAUAAUAUAUUCAUGAACAGAUCAAAUCAAAGCACUGUGGAGUAUUCAAUCAAUAAAUAAUCAACAAAACAUAGAAUAUAAAAUUCUUGUACACAAAUGUUUUAUCCACCAGUGUUUUUCAUGUAUAAAACAGUGUAUUCUAAAACAACAUGUCUGAUCGAAACAAUUUACAUAGUUUUAUUUUUAUUUUAACAUGAUCUUUGUAAAAUAAAAUGAUUUUAACCCUAUUUGCAGAAAUUAACAUAAGCCAAUUUUUUUUCUGACAAAUCAAGGAAAAGAAUUGUUUAGCCACAUGAAUAGAUGAUUUGAAAUGUUGCAGGACUUUCUUAGUUCCUUCUACAACCUGAGAAGGCUAAAAUAAAUUAUUUAAAUAAAUGCAAAAACAAAUAAAAGUCAUAAUCUCUAUAUUUUGCAAUACCAAAUUGAUAGUAAAAUAUGCCAUCAAUGAUUAGUACUUUUAUGAAUUAAAGGAAAAUCACAUAGUUAUAAUGUAAAUAAAAAAACAAAAAAACAAACACAAUUCAUAUUUUUUUUUAAAUACCCAGCAAACAGAAACAAAUAUUGCUACAUAGCUUUAGCACUAUCUAGAACAUUGUCAGUAGACCUUGCUAUCUAUUUUUCCCUGUAUUAAAUGUUAACAAUCUCUGUUGUGAUAAUAUUUAGCGAAAAGAAAAUAAACCAGAUUAAAACAGAUUAUUGCAUAUAAGUAAAAGAAAAUACAGGGACAAUAACAAGGAGACACCAAACUGAAAAAAACCAGAAAGACUUAUUUCAAUUUAAAAUAGGUUUUUUGUUUGUAAAUUUUUCUACAUAAAAAAAAGAAACAAUCUCAUCAGAUCUAUAAACUAUGCAUACUGCAUUUUCCCAUAUGGUGAAAAAAUGUGUAUGACAUAAACUAUAACAACAUUCACAAAAUAUUCUACUAUGCAAGUGU